UACGUAGGUGGCAAGCGUUAUCCGGAUUUACUGGGUGUAAAGGGCGUGUAGGCGGGACUGCAAGUCAGAUGUGAAAAUUAUGGGCUCAACCCAUAACCUGCAUUUGAAACUGUAGUUCUUGAGUGAUGGAGAGGCAGGCGGAAUUCCGUGUGUAGCGGUGAAAUGCGUAGAUAUACGGAGGAACACCAGUGGCGAAGGCGGCCUGCUGGACAUUAACUGACGCUGAGGCGCGAAAGUGUGGGUAUCAAACAGG
rnacentral:rRNA from 1 species